rnacentral:lncRNA from 1 species
UGCUCAAAAAGUUUCAAAUUUUGGAGAAUUUUGGAUUUUGGACUUCCAUAUUAGGGAUGCUUGACCUGUAUAGGUUAAGUGCUUACAGGUCUUAUUUCACUUAAUCGUGAAAACAACCCUACAGAAUGGGUAUAGCUAUCUUUAUUUUAUAGGUGAGGAACAUAAUAAAGAAACAAUUUCAACACUUAAAAACUAAGAAAACUUUAAAAAUAAGUGAUUUAUUACAUUUAACUAAAAAUAUUCUCAGAAAACUAAAGGAAUACAACAUGUAUCAGGUAGGAGAGACCACUUUACGGCUUUCACCAUUCACAUUCCUCUUGGAGUAUUUUGCCGCCUUUGAUGACCUGUCAUUCUGCAUAGAGAAGAAUAUAACAUGGGGAAAAGGAUUCUGAAGGUGAAGUGACAGAAGAAAAUUUAAAUCUACAAAUGGCACUAAAAGGAGAAACAUUAAAAAAUAAAUUCCUUGAUAAAAAGAAGAAAAAUGGAGGACAAGAACUUCCAGACCACAAAUGGAAAAAAUGGCCAGAUUUCGAACUUGUUGACACAAGACUUUCUAAAGAAUUCUUUCCUUCAAUCUUCAAAUCCUAAAAUAUUCAAAAUGACAUGUUCUAACAAAGGCAUUGCAAUGAAAACCUGAAUGGAAGAUUGGUCUCCUUAUGGGAAACUCAUGAGAACCUUGUGGAGUAUAAAUUAAAAUGAAAUAUAAUUUUUA